rnacentral:lncRNA from 1 species
UUGGUGUGAAGGAGGUCUUGUGUUCAAAUCUUGGCGUGGGCAUUAGUUUUGCUCGUGCGUCUAGGAGAGUUUGAGAUGGACUAAAAAUCUGAGUAGUGGAUUUAGUGGGGAGAUUGAUGGAGAGAAAUAAGGGAUUGGGGUGGUUAUCAAAUAUUCUGUUCAUCUUUUUUUUUCUUUUCUUUUUACUUUCCCAAAAAUCCCGACACCAUCUUGCCAUUUUUCUCUUCACUACUGCCGAAUUUCUACUCUCUUUCACCCUUCAUCUUCUUGAUUUUUCUUUUCCCACUCUGCCUCGUGUCGCUCCACGUUUGUUUGCGAUCGUUCGGUAAGUUUUAGAUAAGUGAUUCAUCUCCGUUUGUUAACUUUCUUCUGAAGUGUUUUCUUUAUUCUAAUUAGGGGAGGAUUCAAUGGCUC